rnacentral:rRNA from 1 species
GACGAACGCUGCGGCGUGCUUAACACAUGCAAGUCGAACGGAGCGAAUGAAAGCUUGCUUUUAUGAGCUUAGUGGCAAACGGGUGAGUAACACGUAGACAACCUGCCGACAGGAUGGGGACAACAUUCCGAAAGGAAUGCUAAUACCGAAUGAAGCGGAGGAGAGGCAUCUCUCCUCCGUGAAAGAUGGCCUCUGAAUAUGCUAUCACCUGUCGAUGGGUCUGCGUCUGAUUAGCUGGUUGGUGAGGUAACGGCUCACCAAGGCGACGAUCAGUAGCCGGUCUGAGAGGAUGAACGGCCACAUUGGGACUGAGACACGGCCCAGACUCCUACGGGAGGCAGCAGUGGGGAAUCUUCCGCAAUGGGCGCAAGCCUGACGGAGCAACGCCGCGUGAGUGAAGAAGGUCUUCGGAUCGUAAAGCUCUGUUGACGGGGACGAACGUGCGAAGGGUGAAUAAUCCUUUGUAAUGACGGUACCUGUCGAGGAAGCCACGG